rnacentral:rRNA from 1 species
AGUGAACGCUGGCGGUAGGCCUAACACAUGCAAGUCGAACGGCAGCACAGUAAGAGCUUGCUCUUACGGGUGGCGAGUGGCGGACGGGUGAGGAAUACAUCGGAAUCUACUUUUUCGUGGGGGAUAACGAAGGGAAACUUACGCUAAUACCGCAUACGACCUACGGGUGAAAGCAGGGGAUCUUCGGCCCUUGCGCGAUUGAAUGAGCCGAUGUCGGAUUAGCUAGUUGGCGGGGUAAAGGCCCACCAAGGCGACGAUCCGUAGCUGGUCUGAGAGGAUGAUCAGCCACACUGGAACUGAGACACGGUCCAGACUCCUACGGGAGGCAGCAGUGGGGAAUAUUGGACAAUGGGCGCAAGCCUGAUCCAGCCAUACCGCGUGGGUGAAGAAGGCCUUCGGGUUGUAAAGCCCUUUUGUUGGGAAAGAAAGGCAGCAGGUUAAUACCCCGCUGUUCUGACGGUACCCAAAGAAUAAGCACCGGCUAACUUCGUG